CGUAGGGGGCAAGCGUUGUCCGGAAUCAUUGGGCGUAAAGAGCGUGUAGGCGGUCCGGUUAGUCGGCUGUGAAAGUCCAGGGCUCAACCCUGGGAUGCCGGUCGAUACUGCCGGACUAGAGUCCGGAAGAGGCAAGUGGAAUUCCCGGUGUAGCGGUGAAAUGCGCAGAUAUCGGGAGGAACACCAAUGGCGAAGGCAGCUUGCUGGGACGGUACUGACGCUGAGACGCGAAAGCGUGGGGAGCAAACAGGAUUAGAUACCCUGGUAGUCCACGCCGUAAACGAUGGGCACUAGGUGUGGGAGGUGUCGACUCCUCCCGUGCCGGAGCUAACGCAUUAAGUGCCCCGCCUGGGGAGUACGGCCGCAAGGCUA
rnacentral:rRNA from 1 species